UACGUAGGGCGCAAGCGUUGUCCGGAAUUAUUGGGCGUAAAGAGCUCGUAGGCGGCCUGUUACGUCUGCUGUGAAAUCCCGGGGCUUAACCCCGGGCGUGCAGUGGAUACGGGCAGGCUGGAGGCAGGCAGGGGAGAACGGAAUUCCCGGUGUAGCGGUGAAAUGCGCAGAUAUCGGGAGGAACACCGGUGGCGGAGGCGGUUCUCUGGGCCUGUACUGACGCUGAGGAGCGAAAGCGUGGGGAGCGAACAGG
rnacentral:rRNA from 1 species